ACGGAAGGCAGCAGUAGGGAAUCUUCCGCAAUGGACGAAAGUCUGACGGAGCAACGCCGCGUGAGCGAAGAAGGCCUUCGGGUCGUAAAGCUCUGUUGUUAGGGAAGAACAAGUAACGCAGUAACUGGCGUUACCGUGACGGUACCUAACGAGAAAGCCACGGCUAACUACGUGCCAGCAGCCGCGGUAAUACGUAGGUGGCAAGCGUUGUCCGGAAUUAUUGGGCGUAAAGCGCGCGCAGGCGGUUCCUUAAGUCUGAUGUGAAAGCCCACGGCUCAACCGUGGAGGGUCAUUGGAAACUGGGGGACUUGAGUGCAGAAGAGGAGAGCGGAAUUCCACGUGUAGCGGUGAAAUGCGUAGAGAUGUGGAGGAACACCAGUGGCGAAGGCGGCUCUCUGGUCUGUAACUGACGCUGAGGCGCGAAAGCGUGGGGAGCAAACAGGAUUAGAUACCCUGGUA
rnacentral:rRNA from 1 species